rnacentral:rRNA from 1 species
AGUGAACGCUGGCGGUAGGCCUAACACAUGCAAGUCGAACGGCAGCACAGUAAGAGCUUGCCCUUACGGGUGGCGAGUGGCGGACGGGUGAGGAAUACAUCGGCAUCUACUUUUUCGUGGGGGAUAACGUAGGGAAACUUACGCUAAUACCGCAUACGACCUACGGGUGAAAGCAGGGGAUCUUCAGACCUUGCGCGACUGAAUGAGCCGAAGUCGGAUUAGCUAGUUGGCGGGGUAAAGGCCCACCAAGGCGACGAUCCGUAGCUGGUCUGAGAGGAUGAUCAGCCACACUGGAACUGAGACACGGUCCAGACUCCUACGGGAGGCAGCAGUGGGGAAUAUUGCACAAUGGGCGCAAGCCUGACCCAGCCAUGCCGCGUGGGUGAUGAAGGCCUUCGGGUUGUAAAGCCCUUUUGUUGGGAAAGAAAAGCAGCAGGUUAAUACCCCGCUGUUCUGACGGUACCCAAAGAGUAAGCACCGGCUAACUUCGUG